rnacentral:rRNA from 1 species
GCAGGGAAUCUUGCACAAUGGGCGAAAGCCUGAUGCAGCGACGCCGCGUGAGGGAAGAAGGCUCUAGGGUCGUAAACCUCUUUUCUAAAGGAAGAGAAUGGACGGUACUUUAGGAAUAAGCCACGGCUAACUACGUGCCAGCAGCCGCGGUAAUACGUAGGUGGCAAGCGUUGUCCGGAAUUACUGGGCGUAAAGGGCCUGUAGGCGGCAUGGUAAGUCCGUAGUGAAAUCUCCCGGCUUAACUGGGAGCGGUCUAUGGAUACUGCCAAGCUAGAGAUCAUCAGAGGAGAGCGGAAUUCCCGGUGUAGUGGUGAAAUGCGUAGAUAUCGGGAGGAACACCAGUGGCGAAAGCGGCUCUCUGGGGUGGUUCUGACGCUGAGGGGCGAAAGCGUGGGGAGCAAACCGG